AGCAGCCGCGGUAAUUCCAGCUCCAAUAGCGUAUAUUAAAGUUGUUGCAGUUAAAAAGCUCGUAGUUGAAUUUUGGAUUCUGCCAAUUGGUCCAUCUUUUAGAUGAGUACUGGUUGUGUGGGGUCUAUCCGCCUGGUGAUACGUAAUGUCCUUUAUUGGAUGUUGCGGGUAGUCAGGACCUUUACCUUGAAAAAAUUAGAGUGUUUAAAGCAGGCUUAUGCCGGAACACAUUAGCAUGGAAUAAUAGAAUAGGACGAAGUUGUUUUAUUUUGUUGGUUUCUAGGACAACCGUAAUGAUUAAUAGGGAUAGUUGGGGGCAUUAGUAUUCAAUUGUCAGAGGUGAAAUUCUUGGAUUUAUUGAAGACUAACUACUGCGAAAGCAUUUGCCAAGGAUGUUUUCAUUAAUCAAGAACGAAAGUUAGGGGAUCGAAGACGAUCAGAUACCGUCGUAGUCUUAACCAUAAACUAUGCCGACUAGGGAUCGGGCGAUGUUGUUUCCAUGACUCGCUCGGCACCUUAU
rnacentral:misc_RNA from 1 species